AUACGCAUCCUUUGCUGAGGAGACGGUUAACGGAGCGAAAGCGACGUUCAACCUCAAAAGAAGCAGAGGGGGCUUAGUGGUGGGGUGACUGCGUACCUUUUGUAUAAUGGGUCAGCGACUUAUAUUCUGUAGCAAGGUUAACUGUAUAGGGGAGCCGGAGGGAAACCGAGUCUUAACCGGGCGUUAAGUUGCAGGGUAUAGACCCGAAACCCGGUGAUCUAGCCAUGGGCAGGUUGAAGGUUGGGUAACACUAACUGGAGGACCGAACCGACUAAUGUUGAAAAAUUAGCGGAUGACCUGUGGCUGGGGGUGAAAGGCCAAUCAAACCGGGAGAUAGCUGGUUCUCCCCGAAAGCUAUUUAGGUAGCGCCUCGUGAAUUCAUCUCCGGGGGUAGAGCACUGUUUCGGCUAGGGGGCCAUCCCGGCUUACCAACCCGAUGCAAACUGCGAAUACCGGAGAAUGUUAUCACGGGAGACACACGGCGGGUGCUAAUGUCCGUCGUGAAGAGGGAAACAACCCAGACCGCCAGCUAAGGUCCCAAAGUCAUGGUUAAGUGGGAAACGAUGUGGGAAGGCCCAGACAGCCAGGAUGUUGGCUUAGAAGCAGCCAUCAUUUAAAGAAAGCGUAAUAGCUCACUGGUCGAGUCGGCCUGCGCGGAAGAUGUAACGGGGCUAAACCAUGCACCGAAGCUGCGGCAGCGACACCGUGUGUUGUUGGGUAGGGGAGCGUUCUGUAAGCCUGUGAAGGUGUGCUGUGAGGCAUGCUGGAGGUAUCAGAAGUGCGAAUGCUGACAUAAGUAACGAUAAAGCGGGUGAAAAGCCCGCUCGCCGGAAGACCAAGGGUUCCUGUCCAACGUUAAUCGGGGCAGGGUGAGUCGACCCCUAAGGCGAGGCCGAAAGGCGUAGUCGAUGGGAAACGGGUUAAUAUUCCCGUACUUGGUGUUACUGCGAAGGGGGGACGGAGAAGGCUAUGUUGGCCGGGCGACGGUUGUCCCGGUUUAAGCGUGUAGGUAUGUGUUCCAGGUAAAUCCGGUUCACUUUAACACUGAGGCGUGACGACGAGGCACUACGGUGCUGAAGCAACAAAUGCCCUGCUUCCAGGAAAAGCCUCUAAGCAUCAGGUAACAUCAAAUCGUACCCCAAACCGACACAGGUGGUCAGGUAGAGAAUACCAAGGCGCUUGAGAGAACUCGGGUGAAGGAACUAGGCAAAAUGGUGCCGUAACUUCGGGAGAAGGCACGCUGACACGUAGGUGAAGUGAUUUACUCACGGAGCUGAAGUCAGCCGAAGAUACCAGCUGGCUGCAACUGUUUAUUAAAAACACAGCACUGUGCAAACACGAAAGUGGACGUAUACGGUGUGACGCCUGCCCGGUGCCGGAAGGUUAAUUGAUGGGGUCAGCGCAAGCGAAGCUCCUGAUCGAAGCCCCGGUAAACGGCGGCCGUAACUAUAACGGUCCUAAGGUAGCGAAAUUCCUUGUCGGGUAAGUUCCGACCUGCACGAAUGGCGUAAUGAUGGCCAGGCUGUCUCCACCCGAGACUCAGUGAAAUUGAACUCGCUGUGAAGAUGCAGUGUACCCGCGGCAAGACGGAAAGACCCCGUGAACCUUUACUAUAGCUUGACACUGAACAUUGAGCCUUGAUGUGUAGGAUAGGUGGGAGGCUUUGAAGUGUGGACGCCAGUCUGCAUGGAGCCGACCUUGAAAUACCACCCUUUAAUGUUUGAUGUUCUAACGUGGACCCGUGAUCCGGGUUGCGGACAGUGUCUGGUGGGUAGUUUGACUGGGGCGGUCUCCUCCUAAAGAGUAACGGAGGAGCACGAAGGUUGGCUAAUCCUGGUCGGACAUCAGGAGGUUAGUGCAAUGGCAUAAGCCAGCUUGACUGCGAGCGUGACGGCGCGAGCAGGUGCGAAAGCAGGUCAUAGUGAUCCGGUGGUUCUGAAUGGAAGGGCCAUCGCUCAACGGAUAAAAGGUACUCCGGGGAUAACAGGCUGAUACCGCCCAAGAGUUCAUAUCGACGGCGGUGUUUGGCACCUCGAUGUCGGCUCAUCACAUCCUGGGGCUGAAGUAGGUCCCAAGGGUAUGGCUGUUCGCCAUUUAAAGUGGUACGCGAGCUGGGUUUAGAACGUCGUGAGACAGUUCGGUCCCUAUCUGCCGUGGGCGCU
rnacentral:rRNA from 1 species